GCAUCGAUGAAGAACGCAGCGAAAUGCGAUAAGUAGUGUGAAUUGCAGAAUUCAGUGAAUCAUCGAAUCUUUGAACGCACAUUGCGCCCCUUGGUAUUCCAUGGGGCAUGCCUGUUCGAGCGUCAUUUGUACCUUCAAGCUCUGCUUGGUGUUGGGUGUUUGUCUCGCCUCUGCGUGUAGACUCGCCUCAAAACAAUUGGCAGCCGGCGUAUUGAUUUCGGAGCGCAGUACAUCUCGCGCUUUGCACUCAUAACGACGACGAUCCAAAAGUACAUUUUUACACUCUUGACCUCGGAUCAGGUAGGGAUACCCGCUGAACUUAAGCAUAUCAAUAAGCGGAGGA
rnacentral:rRNA from 1 species